UACGUAGGGGGCAAGCGUUGUCCGGAAUCAUUGGGCGUAAAGAGCGUGUAGGCGGCUCGGUAAGUCCGCUGUGAAAGUCCAGGGCUCAACCCUGGAAUGCCGGUGGAAACUGUCGAGCUAGAGUCCGGAAGAGGCGAGUGGAAUUCCUGGUGUAGCGGUGAAAUGCGCAGAUAUCAGGAGGAACACCAGCGGCGAAGGCGGCGCUCUGGGCUGGAACUGACGCUGAGGAGCGAAAGCGUGGGUAGCAAACAGG
rnacentral:rRNA from 1 species